AAAGUGAAUCUUCUCUUCAAACUUCCGCGAUCAACUCUUCAAGACUCCAUUCGACUUCACAAAAUCCACCAACCUAGAAAAUCCUUAACAAUCUCCCCCUUUGGCGAUUUCGUGACAAAACAUAAUACAACGCUCGAACACAACUCAGAAACAAUAAAAAGAAGAUCAUCGCAAUCACCAAACGACAAUCUCCUGCAUGAUCGAUUCAAUAAAAGAAAAAAUUACAUUUUUCUCACAAUCCUAAUACAAACUCUAUGACUUAGACAUGGAGUCUUGAAGUAUUGAAAGUUCCUGCAAAAAACAUUCUCAAAACAC
rnacentral:lncRNA from 1 species